GACGUAGGGAGCGAGCGUUGUCCGGAAUUACUGGGCGUAAAGAGCUCGUAGGCGGGACCGUAAGUCCGAGAGGAAAUCUCAAGGCUCAACUUUGGGGCUUUCUUGGAUACUGCGGUUCUUGAGGAUGAGAGAGGUAAGCAGAAUUCCCGGUGUAGCGGUGAAAUGCGUAGAUAUCGGGAGGAAUACCAGUGGCGAAGGCGGCUUACUGGCUCAUUCCUGACGCUGAGGAGCGAAAGCGUGGGGAGCAAACGGG
rnacentral:rRNA from 1 species